UGGGUAACCUGCCUCAAAGAGGGGAAUAGCCUCCCGAAAGGGAGAUUAAUACCGCAUAAUAUGUUUAAGUCGCAUGACUUUAACAUCAAAGGAUUUUUCUUUUAGAAAUUCCACUUUGAGAUGGACCCGCGGCGCAUUAGCUAGUUGGUGAGGUAACGGCUCACCAAGGCAACGAUGCGUAGCCGACCUGAGAGGGUNAUCGGCCACAUUGGAACUGAGACACGCCCAGCUCCUAGGAG
rnacentral:rRNA from 1 species